GUGUGGGAUGUCACAUGAAGAAGUUGGCAGACCUGACAAGGACGGAAGCAGUCCUUGGGCCUGACGACACACAUGAAGGUGUGGCCACCUGCCUUGUGCCGUCAUGACCAACGAAAAGUAUUA
ensembl:snRNA LOC120096835 U6atac minor spliceosomal RNA